UACGUAGGGUGCAAGCGUUGUCCGGAAUUAUUGGGCGUAAAGAGCUCGUAGGCGGUUCGUCGCGUCGGCUGUGAAAACCUGAGGCUCAACCUCAGGCCUGCAGUCGAUACGGGCGGACUUGAGUACUGCAGGGGAGACUGGAAGUUCCUGGUGUAGCGGUGAAAUGCGCAGAUAUCAGGAGGAACACCGGUGGCGAAGGCGGUUCUCUGGGCCUUACCUGACGCUGAGGAGCGAAAGCGUGGGGAGCAAACAGG
rnacentral:rRNA from 1 species